rnacentral:rRNA from 1 species
AGGGUGACAGGUGGUGCAUGGUUGUCGUCAGCUCGUGUCGUGAGAUGUUGGGUUAAGUCCCGCAACGAGCGCAACCCUCGCCUCUAGUUGCCAGCAUUCGGUUGGGCACUCUAGAGGGACUGCCGGCGACAAGUCGGAGGAAGGUGGGGAUGACGUCAAAUCAUCAUGCCCCUUAUGACCUGGGCUACACACGUGCUACAAUGGGCGGUACAAAGGGUCGCGAACCCGCGAGGGGGAGCCAAUCCCAAAAAGCCGCUCUCAGUUCGGAUUGCAGGCUGCAACUCGCCUGCAUGAAGCCGGAAUCGCUAGUAAUCGCGGAUCAGCAUGCCGCGGUGAAUACGUUCCCGGGCCUU